CCUUUGUGCUUUCCACUAAGGGAAAGUCUUCAUUCACAUAGACAACUUCUUAAUUCACUGAUGGGUUUGAGAUACCCCUGAUUUAGCCAUUCUGUUGAAGUGGUUUCCCAGGGUAUGACCACUAUACAUGUACAGCUUCUUGGACCUAUGGAUAGAGGUGAACACUAACGAUGGAAAGCAGCCCUAAGAAAAGCCAGCCCUCACACCACAGGGCUUGGACAUCACAUUCUGUUUGGGCAGAGUAGCUGAAGGCGUUGUGGACCAAGCACCACCAGAGAGCACUGUUGGAUAGUAAAGAGAGGCCCCAUGUUUCUCUGCACACUGGAGCGGGAGGACUGACAGCAAGGAGAGAGGAGUGCUGAAUGCAGCUGCUGCCUUGGCCCAGAGACGGGAACUGGGUGCUGCUGGUCAGAAGAACAAUCCAAAGUAGAGAAUGAUAAUAUGAAUAUGGAUAAUCUUAAGACUGUGAGGAAAAUAGAACUCCAUAGAGAGGCCAGCAAUCCCAGGCAUAACACAGAUCUUCAUACCCUAAGAAGACUGCAAAGGACUGGGGAGGAUCUGAGAACAUUUCAGGAAAGGGAAUGGCUGAGACCCAAUGGGGAUAUUGGAAACAGGAGCCUGAGGUGAACAGGACUUCAGCUGGUGAAAGAUUCAGCAUAAGGGAAAGUACAAUCACACUCAGCAGCUAUCAUCUUCAUCUCCCUCCCACUGGAAACUUGGAUUCUGUCCCUAGGUCUCCAAGCUCUUAUAGGCCAAUUGGAGGAAGACCUGGGAGCUUGCUCCUCAUCUUCAUAAUCCAUUUAAAAACUAGGAAAAAGUAGAAAGAAGAAAGGAGAAUUGUAAACAGCACAGGAGGAAGAAAUAACUUGGUGGAUGUUUAGAAGAUAUAUAAAAGAAGAUUUCAAUAAAAUAAAAACUUAUCCAACUCCAUUAUGAAAACUUUUGUUUAUCCCAACAUGACUCCUCUAUCUUUUUACUUGUGAAGAUCAUUAUUUUGAGCCCCAGUUUGAAUUUUGUACAUGUUUAUAUUUAUUAAAGCCUGUCUUAUCAAAUGUAA